rnacentral:rRNA from 1 species
UACGAAGGGGGCUAGCGUUGCUCGGAAUCACUGGGCGUAAAGCGCACGUAGGCGGCUGCUUAAGUCAGGGGUGAAAUCCUGGAGCUCAACUCCAGAACUGCCUUUGAUACUGAGUAGCUUGAGUCCGGGAGAGGUGAGUGGAACUGCGAGUGUAGAGGUGAAAUUCGUAGAUAUUCGCAAGAACACCAGUGGCGAAGGCGGCUCACUGGCCCGGUACUGACGCUGAGGUGCGAAAGCGUGGGGAGCAAACAGG